rnacentral:lncRNA from 1 species
UGCACAUGUAGAUGAGCCCACAGAGAGGGAUACUGCUGCAGCUAGUGAAUUUUGAAAACCAAAAUGCAGCUCUAUGAUUUAUCCCUUGAGCAAUGAAUAACCAAGUCAGGAAUCUUACUGAUAUGAAGCACAAUCCUAAACUGGAGCACUCUGAACAAAGGAAUUACUUAUUUUAGUAACUGUCUGGUAGGAAAGACAAAAAUCAAAUGAGAAGGAGAUAAACAUUUUAAUCACUGCCUUGGCAUACUACUUACUGAACAACAGAUUCAAAUAGGCAACCCUGAAAAAAGCCAUGAGGCUGAAAUGUCAGGUAUCACAACAUGAAAAAAUAUAUUUUAGAUGUCCAAACAAAGCUCUGAAACACUAGAGGAAGACCCACAAGUCCCAACCUCCUUUUGUUUAGGAAUGACAUCCCUGUCAGAAAAUACUGCCAGAAGCACAAGCCUUAAUAUCCAACUCUGCAAUCAAGUUAAUGGGUCUCUGUGCAGACAAGAUCAUGACUCAAGUUAUUCAACCCUAUUUUAUUAG